rnacentral:tRNA from 1 species
GGUUCUUUAGCUCAAUGGUACAGAGUGCUCAGUUGGAAUUUGAAUGGUACAGAAUUUGAUUCCCUGUAGCAGCCA